GACAGAGGUGCCGAGCGUUAGGCGGAAUCACUGGGCUUAAAGCGUGUGUAGGCGGACUUCUAAGUACCUUGUGAAAUCCCCCGGCUCAACCGGGGAACUGCUUGGUAUACUGGUUGUCUUGAGCCACUUAGGGGCAGUCGGAACAGACGGUGGAGCGGUGAAAUGCGUAGAUAUCGUCUGGAACGCCAAAGGUGAAAACAGACUGCUGGGAGUGUGCUGACGCUGAGACACGAAAGCCAGGGGAGCAAAGCGGG
rnacentral:rRNA from 1 species